AGGCACAGAAGAGGAGCGCCAACUAGGUAGCAGGCUUGAGGAGCAAUCACUCCAAAGACGACCUGUGAGGGAGAUUGGCGCCGAGGCAAAACCACGUGCUUGAGUGCGUUUUGUCGGUCGUUCAGGCUGAAUCCUGACGAUUGUCACCUGUUAUUUGGUGGAGAGCUUCUGGUGAC
rnacentral:ncRNA from 2 species